GUAUUUUCUCCAACAAAACUACAUUAACCUGGAAGUGACUAGGUUAUACUGAAUCUAAAAUGGUGGUGUUAUUCAUCCACUUCGUAUCAGAAGUUGAGGUCCCUGAUGAAAUUAUAGUCAGUACAAAAAUGUAGUUAGAUGGACAAGUUCUAGUAUUUGAUAGUUCAAUAGGAAAAUUAUAGCUAACAACAAUUUCUGUUUAUUUCAAAAUAGCUAGAAGAGAAGAAUUAUAAUGUUCCCAACAAUAAAAAAGACAAAUAUUUGAGGUUAUGAAUAUCCCAAUUACUCGGAUUUGAUCAUUACACAAUGUAUACAUGUAUCAAAGUAUUACAUAUGCCCCCACAAGAUGUGUACAACUAUUAUAUGACAAUGAAAAAUUUUAAAAAUAAAGUUAGUAUGGUGGGAAAGAUUUUCUGAAUAUCUGAUGUGAUUGUAGGCUCUAAAUCAUAUUAAUAUAAAAUGGGUAAUUUAUUGAAUUCAAAGACUACUGUUCUAGCAAUGUUUUGUUUGGUUUUGAGACAGGGUCUUGCUCUGUUGCCCAGGCUGGAGUGCAGUUUGGUGCAAUUGUAGUUCACUUAAGUCUCAAAGUCCUGGGUUCAAGUGAUCUUCCUGCCGCAGCCUUCUGAGAAGGUGCACACCGCACCUAGCUGGUGCUGUGUUUCAAACAUGGGUAUAGAAGGCAGGGAGGCAAGACCUCUGCUCCAAAGGGAAUGCUAGUAAGAGAGAAAAUAAAGCACAAAUGGGUAAUUGAUAUUCAUUAUGGAAAAUAUUCAUGAUACAAAUAUAAAUUCUUAUUAUGGUUUAGGAGGUUUAGAAGGUUUCGGAGGCACACACAGGGAAAAAUCAAUUAAAUGCGGAAGAAUUAGAAAUGUCUUUUGAAUCUAAUUACUUCAAGUACUUGCAACAAUAUUGCCAUUAGUUGGGAAAAUGAUGUUGAAAUCCUAGGUGCCAUCCUUUUAUUAGUGAUGUUCAAUGGAAGAAAGUUCAGAGACCCUCCACUUUUGGAGGCCAACUUGGAGCUACCUGGAAGAAAUAAUUUCUAUUGUGACUUCGAGAUUAACAUGUAGUUAAUUGUGUUAUGUUUGUUAGUAGCAAAUAAUUAUGGUUUAAUAAAACACAUAAGUAGCAUGUCAAAUAUAAAUUUCCUUAGAAAUGAGACUAAACACAUUUCUGUAAACAAGCUGCUUUAAUCCUGUAUUUGAAAUCUAGCGGCAGCUGUGUUAAAAUGGAGGCUCCUUUGAACGAUGAUCUUGACAGAGACCAGAUUCUGGAAUGUUAAAACAUAGCAUAGCAAAAAAAAAAAAAAAA
rnacentral:lncRNA from 1 species